AUUGAUAGAACUUUGGCCCAAAGUCACAU
rnacentral:piRNA from 1 species